GACGAACGAGCAAACUGACGCGAACGACACGCUCGCGGCCACGGCUGAGCCAUCUGGCGACGUGCAUGCUCAUUCUGUUGCCGAUUGCGUGGAUCGCGUGACUCAAUCCGACAACUGAUAACGCAGAUCAGGAGGAGAGCAAAACGCCGUGCGCCAUGCGUAGCAUUGAAUGGCAUUGAAACUCUCAAGGGCAAAACUGAAACUACCGUCGCUGUCAUGUUGUCAACUCAGAGUAUUCGAUAAACAAAUUCGAAUUUGUUUCGUUUUUUAAAAAUAUUGCAAAUGAAAAUGAAGGGGAGGAAGAAGAGGAAGCUAAAGAAGAUAAAGUUAAAUGAGAAAAAGAUGAGGAUGAAAGUAAAUAGCCUAAAAAUAAAUUAAUGAUAAAUUUCUAAAUAAAUUAAGCAAUCCAUUAUUUUUUGAAAGAUUCCACAGUUCUUUACAUUAGUAUAAACAAAUUAAAGUUAUAUAUGGACUAAAUGAUCUCAAGUUGGGAAUAACAAUCGACUUAAAAUUUUCAUAAAAGAAAUUUAUUAGCGAAUGCUUCUGAUAAAAUUAUUUGGAAUUGGGCUGUAUAUGAGAAUUUACCACACUUUUAGUCUGGAUUCUCUGGAACAAAAUGUUUCAAAUAUAUAUGUAUACUUAUAACUGAAGCAUUGAGAUUGAAUGUUCUAAUGCAUUUAUUUUGAUACUAGAGUAUUGUAUAUUUUGCUAAUAAAUUCUUUUAAAU